GCCUGGCUGGCUCAACUGGAAGAGCGUGCGACUCUUGAUCUUGGGGUUAUGAGUUCGAGCCCCAUGUUGGGUG
rnacentral:tRNA from 1 species